rnacentral:rRNA from 1 species
UACGGAGGGUGCAAGCGUUAUCCGGAUUCACUGGGCUUAAAGGGAGCGUAGGUGGGUUGGUAAGUCAGUGGUGAAAUCCCCGAGCUUAACUUGGGAACUGCCAUUGAUACUAUCAGUCUUGAAUACUGUGGAGGUUAGCGGAAUAUGUCAUGUAGCGGUGAAAUGCUUAGAUAUGACAUAGAACACCAAUUGCGAAGGCAGCUGGCUACACAAUUAUUGACACUGAGGCUCGAAAGCGUGGGGAUCAAACAGG